UACGAAGGGUGCAAGCGUUACUCGGAAUUACUGGGCGUAAAGCGUGCGUAGGUGGUGAGUUAAGUCUGUCGUGAAAGCCCCGGGCUCAACCUGGGAAUGGCGAUGGAUACUGGCUCGCUAGAGUGCGGUAGAGGAGAGUGGAAUUCCCGGUGUAGCAGUGAAAUGCGUAGAGAUGUGGAGGAAUACCGAUGGCGAAGGCAGCCCCCUGGGAUAACACUGACGCUCAUGCACGAAAGCGUGGGAGCAAACAGG
rnacentral:rRNA from 1 species